ACGAGAGAGAGUGUGAGAACUAGAGUUCUCCGACCCGAGAAGAAACCAGGCCGUCACGCCACCAUCCGGCCACCCCACGACGGCGCACACCCACCAUUCCCUUCGCCUCUACGUCCCUGUGGUUCCAGAUCUUACAUGCAGCGACUAGAAGCGGGGAUUCGACGACGGAAAGCCUUGGGUCUCCUCCGGCGAUUUCUGCAAACUCCGGCGACUCGGGCCACCGACAGAGCCGCUUGUGUCUUGGGUUGAGUUGAUCAACUCAGAAUCGACUAGGCUGACUCCGGUUUGCUGUGUUCUUCGAAGGAGAGCCGACCUGCAAUUUGGGAUUUUGUUUGUGAUCGAGUUUGAUGGCAAGGACUCCAGCUACCCAAGGAACGGAAGGUUCGUGAUCUCCGAACAACGUGAGAUGGUAAAGCUUCGAAAUCCAGGUAGGGGACUCGGGACUCUCUAUUGGCUAAUGGUUUUCCAUAUUUGAUUAUAUUUGAUGCAUGAUGAAAGUAUACUGUUAGUUCAAAUUUGAA